CGGGGGAUGAUCCUAUAGCGUCUCCGGGACAUUCUCAUCUAUCGCACCAAGAUCUGACUACUUUGUCGUUUAAAAUAAAAUGGUUCCCUGCAUGAUGUUACCAAGUUGACUCCACUUUCACCGGAAGUUAUCAGCAGACAAGCCAAUAUUAACAUAUAUGGAUUUAAGCAAACUGAGACUUGGGUAUCUUUGGAAGAUCUGGACGACUUCGGUGAUACUGGAAGAUGAAGAUAUGUAUCAGUUAUAGCAGUAUUAUUAUUUUUAAACUGAAAUUGUUUUCAUGGAUUCUUUGAUUUUGUGUGAUGAUCAUCAUACCUAGUUUACUUUGGAAAUAACAUUACAGAGAAUAUUGUUUUUACACAAAGUGCUUAAGUUACAUGAAAAGUUUAUUGUCAUGUUGCUCAUGGAAAAUCCACAGUUGUAAAAGCUAUUUCUCGUGUUCACACAGUUAGGUUCAAAAUGAACUGGAAAGAAAUACUACCAUCAAGCUUGGAUAUGCAAAUGCCACGGUACAUAGUAUGUUGUGGAAGUAGAAAAUAUUUUACUUUAAUUGUUAAAUAUGCAGAUGACAGAUUGUCUUUUCAUUGAAACAUCUAGAUUGAUAAACUGGAUGACUCAAGUUGUUCUUGGCCAGAAUGUUACAGAUCCUGUGGAAGUAGUACGCCAGAUGAGUUUCCUACAGACAUUCCAGGGACCAAAGGAAACUUCAGACUAUUCAGAGGCUGUGGACCAGUACUGUGGAACGUUAAGAACCAGGCCACACAGCAGGAGGAGUUGGAAUAAAAAUUGACCCAACUUUGUGCCGUGCUGAUAGAAUGGUAGGGCAGGUGCUUGGUGCUGUUAGAACUUUACCUGAGAACUUCACAGAACUAGAAAUUUCCUAUUUUUUGCUUAGACGACUUCUCGGUGUACGUACUGAAGGAGACAAAGUAGCAAAGCUGAUACAUUUCAAGACCUCCAAUGGAUACCUGAGAUUACAGAUAGUACCAAACCCUAUAUAUACUGUUGUCUGUUGGUAUUCAUGAGAAAUUGGUUCCAGGACCUCUGGUAGAUACUAAAUUCCAUGCGUGCUCUGGUUCCUAUGUAAAAUGGAGUAAUAUUUGCAUAUAUUUUCCCAUAUACUUUAAGUCAUCUUUAGAUGACUAUGUUAUAUAAAUAGGAGUUAAACUUUUGUUUUGGAAAUAAAAAAAUCUAUAUUUUCAAUCAACAGUUGGUUAAGUGAUUGAUGCAGAACUCCAUGGAUACUCAGAGUUAAAUGUACAUUUUUUUCUAUACAUGUACUUAUGAUAAAGUUAAUUUAUAAAUUAG